AGCGAACGCUGGCGGCAGGCCUAAUACAUGCAAGUCGAGCGCACCUUCGGGUGAGCGGCGGACGGGUGAGUAACGCGUGGGAAUAUGCCCUUUGGUACGGAACAACUGAGGGAAACUUCAGCUAAUACCGUAUGUGCCCUUCGGGGAAGGAUUAUCGCCAUUGGAGUAGCCCGCCGUUGGAUUAGCUAGUUGGUAGGGGUAAAGGACCUACCAAGGCUACGAUCCAUAGCUGGUCUGAGAGGAUGAUCAGCCACAUUGGGACUGAGACACGGCCCAAAC
rnacentral:rRNA from 1 species